rnacentral:rRNA from 1 species
CCCUUAGAUGUCCUGGGCCGCACGCGCGCUACACUGACAUGUUCAACAAGCCUCCUAGUUCGACAUGAUUUGGGAAAUCUUUGAACGCAUGUCGUGAUAGGGAUAGAUCAUUGCAAUUAUUGAUCUUGAACGAGGAAUUCCUAGUAAACGCGAGUCAUCAGCUCGCAUUGAUUACGUCCCUGCCCUUUGUACACACCGCCCGUCGCACCUACCGAUUGAAUGUUUCGGUGAAGAUUCCGGAUAGGACUUUUUUGAUUUAUUUCAAUUCUGUCUUAAAAGCUAUCUAAACCUCAACAUUUAGAGGAAGGUGAAGUCGUAACA